AGGGUUCAGAUAUGAGGGUCCCUUUUUAAAAUCCCUCUAUAGUUAAAGAAAUCACAGGCAUUCACAUUCACACAUUUUGUAGUAGGGGACUGAGAGAGAGACAUUUAGCAGCUCUUGAGUGACCGCAAUAUUCAGAAGGUAAAGACUGCUCUUGCCUGGAUUUCUUCACAAAAGAACUUUAACAAGACCCAGACAGAUGAUCUGCAACAGUACAUCUGGGAUAAUAAAAAGUGUACCAAUCAAUACAAAUGCAAGCGACUGGAGCCAUGACAAAGACCACGGUAUGAGACUACUAAGAAAGACUGCAACUUGAAGUAUCACAGGAAGACAAAAAAUGAAACAAGAGAAAGAUAGAUGCUGUCAUAGAAACUGAUCUUUUCACUUACCAUUACAUCUUUUGGACUAUGGGACUUCAUUGGCUAUAAAAAACAAAAAAAGUAAUCUUAUAAAUUUACAGAAACUAUUCCAAGUGUGACAUUAAACAUAACUCUUCACCAGACUUACUCUCAUUACCAAUAAUGAGAAGGAAUUGAAAUGCUUUCAAAACUACUGCAAACAGGAAUGUACAUUUGCCAUGUUUUAGGAAUAUUACCAAGAAAAUAUUUACACAGUGAAUACCAUUAACCUACCAGUUUGCAAAAUGUCUAUCUAGUGAAGCAGCAUUUGGAGCGAAAAAAAAAAAGAGAAAAUAUUAUUAGUCAUCCCAGGAUACAUUAACAAUCCUCCUAACACAGACAAUAAUGUCUUUGAAGGAAAACUUUAAGGAUUUAAUUCUGUAUAUUGAAAGACAAAGCAGAACACAGUAGGAUUCUAAAAAGUCCAUGCCAGUCUUAUUCUGACUCCUGGAACAGUAAGAAGAGAAAAAAAUCUAAACAGAGAGCAAAGCAUGAUAUUGAAGUGUGGAGGUAUUAAUAUACUGUUUAUUACUGUUACUAAAUGCAUUUGUUCAACAUGUUUUAUUUGGUUUCUGCUUAAAUUAUAUUGAUUGUAAUAAGUAUUGUAUUGUGCAAUUCUUUUUCCUGUAUCAGUGCUAAAUAAUAUAAUAGCUGCCAUGAAGUGGUCUAAUCUUACAUUAUCUAUUUUUUAUUUUCUACAUAAUAAAGUAAGAACAGAAAUAAUGUCAUUUCAAUAUGGAUAUUUUAUUCAUUCAUAGCUGGUAUAAUGAGGAAUUUUUUUAAAAAACACAUUAUUUCUUAAGGUGCAUCACGCCAAGAUGCUUACAAUUCAACUACAUAAAAAUAGGCUGUAGCACAAGAAGAACAUUCACUUAGUUCUGGUAUAAACUUUAG